GAUGAACGCUGGCGGCGUGCCUAACACAUGCAAGUCGAGCGAAGCACUUUGCUUAGAUUCUUCGGAUGAAGAGGAUUGUGACUGAGCGGCGGACGGGUGAGUAACGCGUGGGUAACCUGCCUCAUACAGGGGGAUAACAGUUAGACAUGACUGCUAAUACCGCAUAAGACCACAGCACCGCAUGGUGCGGGGGUAAAAACUCCGGUGGUAUGAGAUGGACCCGCGUCUGAUUAGCUAGUUGGUAAGGUAACGGCUUACCAAGGCGACGAUCAGUAGCCGACCUGAGAGGGUGACCGGCCACAUUGGGACUGAGACACGGCCCAAACUCCUACGGGAGGCAGCAGUGGGGAAUAUUGCACAAUGGGGGAAACCCUGAUGCAGCGACGCCGCGUGAGCGAAGAAGUAUUUCGGUAUGUAAAGCUCUAUCAGCAGGGAAGAAAAUGACGGUACCUGACUAAGAAGCACCGGCUAAAUACGUGCCAGCAGCCGCGGUAAUACGUAUGGUGCAAGCGUUAUCCGGAUUUACUGGGUGUAAAGGGAGCGUAGACGGAUGGGCAAGUCUGAUGUGAAAACCCGGGGCUCAACCCCGGGACUGCAUUGGAAACUGUUCAUCUAGAGUGCUGGAGAGGUAAGUGGAAUUCCUAGUGUAGCGGUGAAAUGCGUAGAUAUUAGGAGGAACACCAGUGGCGAAGGCGGCUUACUGGACAGUAACUGACGUUGAGGCUCGAAAGCGUGGGGAGCAGACAGG
rnacentral:rRNA from 1 species